ensembl:lncRNA
AUGCCGCCCAAAUGUUCACGCAAAGAAAGGAGGCAUACCUUUUAUUCUAGUUGUAGUAUUGUUGUUAACGCCGCUGCCAUGUCAUAUAGACGCUGUGUGUUUCACUGUGACAGAAAAACUACUUUAGUUGGCCUUCCAAAAGAGGACGAUAUCUGCUUCGUCAUGCCUGGAGCUGAUCCGUGCUGGUCUUUGAGGAAAUACAUCAACAUCAACUGUGGAUCACCGAAUCGGCUUUCACCGUGGAUGAAGCGGAGUGCAGCCCGGGGUCAUCACAUAUGGUUGCCGCAAGCACAAGAAUGGUGUAAGUUUACAUCUAUCAGCAGGGGCUAUCUGGUCAAUAUUAACCAGCCAAACCCUGUGAGAUAUUUUAGGUAAGUAGACUAAAUGGUCUUUUUUAAUAUUGUAAUAUUUCUGACCAUACUUAGAGGAGCUUUCUGAAUUCAUAUGGUCCUGCAUGCAUAAAGAUAUUCAGGUAAUGGUGAUAAUUUGGCCAUAAGAUUAUCUGUUAAAUGUUCAUCAUAUAAACUGGUUAACCAGCACAAUUUAGCCAAUAUUCUGUAAUAUGGCAUAUGACUGUAUUAAUAUUCACAGUAAAUUUUCAUUUGUAGCAGGCGGCACACAUUUUGGAAAAAGAUGAUGGGUAAGUAAAUGAUGAUGGGUGAGCUAUCCUUUUAAUAAGAAUAUGGACUUUAAUUAGAAAAUGAUGUACUUGUAAACAUGAACAAUAAAAGCAAGAGAUAAAAAGCCUAAUUAACCCUGAUUUGAAAAGUAUACAUAUAAAUGACUCCGUUAAUUAAGAAAGGAGAAAGAGGGAAAUACAAUGCAUCAUUUUGGAUUGCACUCAGAGAAGGUUAAAGAAUGAUUAGACGGAUAGAAGUCCCGUAGCAGUUGUCUGAGGAGCGCAGAAGUCCCUGGUGUGAAAUGUGCACUAGCUGAUCAAUAUUCCUGUCAGGCUGCAUUAAUCUCCAUAUAGAAUGUCACCUUAAUGCCAGAGAUACACAGUGGUUUCUGCUGCUGGGACGCCUGUUAAAGGUAUGGAUCAGAGCCAGUGUUCAGCUGAUGCUUCGCCUGCACUGCCAAUCUCAGGGCAGUUUUGAGCCAGCAUUUCACUCUUCUUGCUACAGUACUGUAUGUUCAAGAAUGGAAAUUCAAAACUAGAACUCUCAAGUUUGAAGUUUUUCUGUUUGUAUCUUUCCAUAGAAAAGUAAACUAUUUACAUUUUUGUGUAAGACUUGGAUUUGAGAGUCUUUUUAGCAACUUCUGGGUAAUAAAACGUUCCACAGGGUUAAAUGAAAUUUUUAAUAAAUUAGUAGAAAAUUGGCUGCAAUUUACUCACCCUCAGGCCAUCCAAGAUAUAGAUGAGUGUGAUUAUUUAUAAGUCUGUCUCGUCAGACAUUGUUUAAUGGACUGGAGCCAUAUGGAUUACUUGAGGAUUAUUGUAAUGUUUUCUUCAAAUGUUUGGACUCUCAUUCUGACGGCACCCAUUCACUGCAGAGGAUCCAUUGGUGAGCAAGUGAUGUAAAGCUGCAUUUCUCCAAGUCUAUUCUGAUGAUAAAAACAAACUCAUCUACAACUUGGAUGCCCUCAGGGUGAGUACAUUUUUUAGCAAAUUUUCAUUUUUGGUUGAAACUAUUCCUCUGUACACUUUUUAAAAUAAAGGUUCUUCAUUGGUAUUUAUGGUUACAUGAAGACCCUUUAACAUCCAUAGAACCUUUCCAAGGCACAAAAGGCUAUUUAAAGCUGCAGUCCGUAAGUUUUUCCUCUUUGUUGCAUUUCUGUUUGAAAACCUGCAAUUGCAGUUAUUUGUGGAAUUACGUUCCUUGCGUGGGUUGUGCAUCGUCACGGCUCCAGCGCGGAUGAAUCUAAUGUUUUAAGGAGUAUGUAUUGCUGCCAGUCACCACAUUGGUGUGGAUACUGUACGUAGGAAUCACAGAUUCUAUUAUAUAUAUACUAAUUUAUCAUAUAUACUAAUAUAUGACCCAAAUAAGAAUUUUUAACUGAUAUUUUCAUCUGAACAGGUAAGUAACAAGUCUGCCACAUUUGUUCUGACCAACUGAGGAAAAAUGAUUACAAUAGAUCACGCUACCAAUUGUGAUUAAAUCUAACGAUCGAUUAUCAGCGUUUAGAUUUCAGUUUCUGUGCAGUCUAAUCUCUAAUUUUCAUACCAUUUGAAUUUCAUAUUAGGAAAUUCUUUUAACCCAAAAAGCUAAUUAUGCUCCCUUCGAACUGGUUGUCUUUAAAAUACAAACCUUGUGUAAUCCCAGGAUAUCUGUAAUCAGAAGCAUAUUUAUGACUGGAAUAUAAUUUAAUGUCAUUCACAUGUGUUUCAUAAACACAUAAUCCUUUAUAGAUUACAAUUCGCCAUCAAAACGAUAAAUUUAAUUAUUCCAGCUGCUGUGAGAAAAGGCUAUAAAUGAUCUGCAGGAUCCUCACAUGCGAUAGCCUAGAAGCCGGGACAACUUCUUUAUGUUUACAGACAUGAUGUAAUGAUGCAGUGCCAUGCUCGAAUUUUUGGUUUUUAAAUGGCAUUGACAUUAAAAUCCCCUUUUAGAACGUUUAUUUUUUAAGAGUGUACAUAGUAAAAGCAGUACAUUAUCCUGGACAAUCCUACAAGACAUCCACCUUAUUAAGGGAACAUGCACUUAGAAGCCGAUUAGCAUGCAACAAACAGGACUUCAGCUGUCAUGGGAACUGUGUUCAAGAGGUUAACUGCAGUCAUUACAUCUGCACAGACAGUUGUAAGCAAAGUUUAAUAGAUUUUCGCGGAACCCAAACAGUUGAGCUCUGUGUUGCUAACAAAACUUUAAUAUUUUCACAUAAAUGCUGGUGUAAUUCAUAGACGCUUACAAGGGCCAAACAGACAGAACUGCUUUUUUGUUAUAGUGUUUCGGUGACAACAGAACCACAAACCUUUGCAGCUAUGAAUAAACAUGCAAAGGGAUCUGAAAGAAGUGCAGGAACGAUUCUGUGGAGAAGUGCAAUUAAAACGAGAAAAACACACUGCAUCCGUCUAAAGAUUAGUGUUUCUGCCUUAAUCAAGUGUGGAUGAAUAUAGAUUUUUUAAGGGGCUUAUUUACCUUUUUAGAAGGAGACUUUCCCUUUUUUUUCUUCAGUGUAUUAGAGAUAUUCUUGUAUCCCAGUGGCAAACGGGAAAGAAUGUUUUGGAUGCAUUCCAUAUGAAAUCCCCACUUGAUUAGAUUUAAUAAGCUUAUGGGCCAAUCGUAAUACGUUUGAAAUGAUAUUGAAGAAGCCUUUCAAAAACCUCUCUUAAUACUACAAAAGGACAAUAAAAUUGCUGCUGAAAGACACAAUUCAUAAACAUAAUAUUGAGUUAAAGGAUAUGUAAAAAUUGGUUUAGAAACCAGUGCAAACAAAAAUAAGUGUUUUGCUUUGCUUUACUUUUUUGGACUGUUUUCAGUUGUAAACAAUGAUUGACCUGUGCAUAUUUCGCUCCUGAUUCAGACUUUUUCACUGGAGAAAGCAAUGCUAUAGAGGAUUUGUUAGAGGUAUUUUGGCCAGAAGCAAUGGUUUGAAGUUUAAAAAACUUAAUGAUGUAUCUGUUACUUACAAACAUGCAAGACAUGAUGGAUCUGAUGGACUGGAGUGGCGUAGAUUACCUGUGGAUUAUUGUGAUGUAUUUAUCAGCUGUCUGAUGGCACCCAUUCACUGCAGAGGAUCCAUUGGAACCAAUCUGUUCUGCUGUAGAAACAAACAAAUCUUAGAUGGCCUUCUAGCUAUUUUUUUAUUUUUGGGAGAACUAUUUCUUUAAGUCUGUUAUUGGUAAUGAAAUGAGUGGGUUCAUGUAUUUUCCCUAGAAUUGGGUUUAACUGUUCAGCCUAAAAAAAGCCUAAGAAAUAUUUCAACUUGCUUUUAUUUUGUUCUCUGAGCUGCUCUUUUACACAAAGCAAAAAUGCAUGGUGAUCAUAGAUAUUAAGUUCAGUUGUUGAAAAUCAGGAUUUGAACCCGGUUCCCCUUUCACACUAAAUGAAAGCUGUACCAUUAGACUAACACAUUUUAUAUAACCAGCUCUUAAAAACAUGUUUUCCCCUAUGGUCAUGUGUUAUUUUUCAGGACUGUGACUGGUGACUUUUAAAAAGGAGUGCAUGAUGCGCCUGAGAAUAAGCACUUCAUUUAUCAGCUUCAUCAUGUUUCUGCACGACUGCUGUUCCAGCAGAUACCUGAAGUGACCAGGGCAAGGUGUCCAUCGUCAGAAUGUAAACUCUAUAUGCUUUUAAACUGGAUGACCUUUCCUAAUAACUAAAAUCUUUUUUUUUUUUUAUGACUUUCACAAGAAAAAAAUCAGUAGAAAUGAUUGAAAACCUCUCGCUGCAGUCUGGUAAUGGUUUUUAAAAGGUUUUAUAGUAUUUCUAUGGAAAUGGAGCAUGCUUUUCCUGAUGCUUGAUGUUCAACCCUUGAUGUCAUAACACACAAAAAGCAGCAUCCGCUGAUCUAUAACAGAGAACUGGAUUGCUCAUGAUGCCAUAAAAUUGAAGCCACUGCACCGCCAUAUUGGUAUUCCUUAGUAUUCCCAUUCUAUUGGAUUCGAAAACAUCACCUAAUAAGUCAGUGUUUUUGUAUCUACAUUCUCCCUGUACAUUCUUACAAUGCAAACGUCCUAUGCAUGUAAAUGGUUAUUUGUGUAAUGCUGGGAAUUUCCCCUGUGUAAUAAAAAGUUACAUUCAUAUACAUUACAGUAUCAAACAUCAGAUGAACGUGAUUAACAUCAAAUGGAUGAGAUCCUCAACGUGUAUAUUAUAAAU